rnacentral:rRNA from 1 species
GCUAGUAAUCGCGAAUCAGAAUGUCGCGGUGAAUACGUUCCCGGGUCUUGUACACACCGCCCGUCACACCAUGGGAGUCGGUAACGCCCGAAGUCAGUGACCCAACCAAUCCGGAGGGAGCUGCCGAAGGCGGGAUCGGUAACUGGGGUGAAGUCGUAACAAGGUAGC